rnacentral:rRNA from 1 species
UGGGGAAUAUCGGACAAUGGGCGAAAGCCUGAUCCAGCCAUGCCGCGUGUGUGAAGAAGGUCUUCGGAUUGUAAAGCACUUUAAGUUGGGAGGAAGGGCAGUAAGCGAAUACCUUGCUGUUUUGACGUUACCGACAGAAUAAGCACCGGCUAACUCUGUGCCAGCAGCCGCGGUAAUACAGAGGGUGCAAGCGUUAAUCGGAAUUACUGGGCGUAAAGCGCGCGGAGGUGGUUCGUUAAGUUGAAUGUGAAAGCCCCGGGCUCAACCUGGGAACUGCAUCCAAAACUGGCGAGCUAGAGUAGGGCAGAGGGUGGUGGAAUUUCCUGUGUAGCGGUGAAAUGCGUAGAUAUAGGAAGGAACACCAGUGGCGAAGGCGACCACCUGGGCUCAUACUGACACUGAGGUGCGAAAGCGUGGGGAGCAAACAGG